rnacentral:rRNA from 1 species
CCUACGGGAGGCAGCAGUGAGGAAUAUUGGUCAAUGGGCGCGAGCCUGAACCAGCCAAGUCGCGUGAGGGAAGACGGUCCUAUGGAUUGUAAACCUCUUUUGUCGGGGAGCAAAAGACGCCACGCGUGGCGUUCCGAGAGUACCCGAAGAAAAAGCAUCGGCUACCUCCGUGCCAGCAGCCGCGGUAAUACGGAGGAUGCGAGCGUUAUCCGGAGUUAUUGGGUUUAAAGGGUGCGCAGGGGGAAGAUCACGGCAGCGGUAAACUUGAGAGGCUCAACCUCUUCGAGCCGGUGAAACUGGUUUUCUUGAGUGAGCGAGAAGUAUGCGGAAUGCGUGGUGUAGCGGUGAAAUGCAUAGAUAUAACGCAGAACUCCGAUGGCGAAGGCAGCAUACCGGCGCUCAACUGACGCUCAGGCGCGAAAGUGUGGGUAUCGAACAGGAUUAGAUACCCCUGUAGUC